rnacentral:rRNA from 1 species
UGAGGAAUUUUGCGCAAUGGGCGCAAUCCUGACGCAGCAACGCCGCGUGGGUGAUGAAGGCCUUCGGGUCGUAAAGCCCUGUCAGGUGGGAAGAAUGUCCCGGGACUGAACAGGUUCCGGGAGUGAUGGUACCACCAGAGGAAGCACCGGCUAACUCCGUGCCAGCAGCCGCGGUAAUACGGCGGGUGCAAGCGUUAUUCGGAAUUACGGGGCGUAAAGCGCGUGUAGGCGGGCCGGCAAGUCUGAUGUGAAAGCCCCGGGCUUAACCCGGGAAGUGCAUUGGAAACUGUGGGACUUGAGUACUGGAGAGGAUGGGGGAAUUCCCGGUGUAGAGGUGAAAUUCGUAGAGAUCGGGAGGAAUAUCAGUGGCGAAGGCGCCCAUCUGGACGGUAACUGACGCUGAGACGCGAAAGCGUGGGGAGCAAACA